GUCCAUCCGACAAGUCCCAAAUAGGACGAAACGCACAUCCUGGAU
rfam:Schistosoma curassoni strain Dakar, Senegal genome assembly, scaffold: SCTD_scaffold0000811